rnacentral:rRNA from 1 species
GUCCACGCGGUAAACGAUGACGACUAGGUGUGGGGGGGUUCAGUCCCUUCCGUGCCGCAGCUAACGCAUUAAGUCGUCCGCCUGGGGAGUACGGCCGCAAGGUUGAAACUCAAAGGAAUUGACGGGGGCCCGCACAAGCGGUGGAGCAUGUGGUUCAAUUCGAUGCAGAGCGAAGAACCUUACCUGGGCUUGACAUGCGCGAAGUAGAAACCGGAAACGGGGACGACCUGUUGAGUCAGGAGCGCGCACAGGUGGUGCAUGGCUGUCGU